rnacentral:misc_RNA from 1 species
UAGAUCUGGCAUGGUGAUUUCAU